UACGUAGGGCGCAAGCGUUGUCCGGAAUUAUUGGGCGUAAAGAGCUCGUAGGCGGUCUGUCGCGUCGGAUGUGAAAGCCCGGGGCUUAACCCCGGGUCUGCAUUCGAUACGGGCAGACUAGAGUGCGGUAGGGGAGAUUGGAAUUCCUGGUGUAGCGGUGGAAUGCGCAGAUAUCAGGAGGAACACCGAUGGCGAAGGCAGAUCUCUGGGCCGUAACUGACGCUGAGGAGCGAAAGCGUGGGGAGCGAACAGG
rnacentral:rRNA from 1 species